rnacentral:lncRNA from 1 species
UCAGGUCUUUGUUUUUACGCUGCAGGAUGUCUUCACCAGUGCAUCACGAGCUCGGAGAAAGACGCAUGCGCUAUGGACCAAAGGGGACAAGGGCUUACGCCCGCAAGCCCUACCGUGACGCUUGGGGCGAUGUGGUACCUGCAUUCUUCCCAGACGAAGAGGAAGUGGAGUUCGUGGAGCCGCCGAACGCCCCCAUCCAGGAGACGACCGUGAGGCGUCGGAUUCUGAUGCCCCAUUUCCAGCGGGCAGCCGAGUACAGGCGAUUGUACCAGGGUCAGGGUACUUUCCAGUUUGCACCGGAAGUGGACAUGACGCCGCCCACAAGGGGCCGAGGGCGCCCCAGGAAGACGGGGCCGACCAGGGAAGGUCCGGGACCGAUCCGGAUGGAGGACAGUGUACCAACGAGGAAGCGGGGACGCCCAAGGAAGAUUCCGAGCAUUGAUGCAGAGAGUCUGAGGAGAAUACCCGGAAUAUGUCAGUGUGGAACAUUGACGCAGGCCAGGCAAAGACCGCGCUCAGUCCGGGAGUACACAGAGGAAUUCCUGGAGUCAGCCAAAAGAUGCAAGCCCAAGUCAGCGGAGGAUUGGUGCCGGUGGUAUACGGCAGGACUCCGCGAGGAGAUUCGGGGCAAGCUGAUUGGUGUGUUGGAACCAUGGGAAUUCGCCUUGGUGAACCGGAUGGCCGGUCAGGCAAUGGAGGCGGAACGGACACUUGCUCGUCGGGUCGUCGCCAUCUCGAGCUCUGAGGAGGACGUAGAGGUGGAGGAGGAUCCAUCGGAGGACUCAGCGUGGGAAGAGGAGCCGGCGUCGUCGACGGGGAGUGGCCGUGUGGCUGGUCCUAAGCCGGACGGGGAGCAGAAGUCUCCAGUUCGAAGUGGCUAGCUGUGAUUCCAGAGUCAGCUAGUAGGAGUAGGACAUGGUUUUUCUUCUUUGGUUUUAGCUUUUCCUUUCUUGUUAUAAGGGUAUUCGCGGAUUUUGGCGAUACCUUGAGACCUAUCUUUUUAUUGUAGUCCUACUCCAUUUCAUUUAUUAAAUUCAUUGUUGGUUUUAAAUGAUCUUGAGCAAGUAGGAUGUCAUUUCGUGCUUCCCUUGAUUGUGUUUGAAAACUCCCCUCGGGUUUUGGAUGUUAAGGUUUAAAGCCUGAAGAUUGGAAUUCGGGGCGAAUUCCAAUUAACAGGGGGAGAAUUGUAACACCCCAAAACCCAAGUCCAAAAACUUUUUGUGGACAGGCCCGCUCUGCGGCCCAUUUGGAUUAAAAACCCUAGGGUUCCUUGCUUCCCCUAUAAAAGCAAGCCUCCACCCUUAGCCUUCCAUCACAAAUUUAGAAGCGAAGCCCUGCAGAGAAGUCCCGGAGAUCAGAAACCCUAGCCGUCGUCUCCUUCCUUCUCUCUCCCUGCGCCGCCUCUCCUCUCUUUCUCUCUCUUCGCCGCGGCUCUUCUCUCUCUCUCCUCGCCGUGCCUCUUUCUCUCUCUCGGACGACUCUCUCUCUCCUCGCCGUGAGCAGCCGCGAGUGGUGGUGGUAACCGUGUGGCGUCGUCGAUCUCAGAUCUCACCUCUCUUGCAUCUCAGAUCCAUCCAGAUCUAGGCUAAGGUGAGGUGUUCUACCCAGAUCUGUUCUAUGUUCUUUUAUAUUGUUGAAUGGGUUGCUAGGAUUGAUUAGAUCCUGUGUGUUGUUAGGUUGAUAGAUCAUAUUGCAUUAGAACUCUCGUACUGAUUUAAGAUUCUAAAUAAACUGGUGUGUUGAUGAUUGAUUGAUUGUUUGAUUGGUUGAAGACCUGUGGUCGUGAUUGAGAGCUAGGAUGGUUAUAAAGAAAUGAACGUAGGAUCUUAAGAGAACGGUUAACCGGUCUGUUAGAUGAAUGAUAAAAAUCUAUGAAUGAUUGUUGAAUGGAUUGAGUGUGACACCGAGAACGGGUGGCGUCUAAAAAGGAAAGUAAGAAAGAGUCUAAGGGUUUAAGGAAAAGGAAAUGAUAAGGAAAAAGGAAAGGUUAAAUGCUUGAAAUACGAACCACCGAGGAACGGGUGGGGAGUAUGGGAAAUGAAUAGAAAUGGAAUACGAACCACCGAGGGACUGGUGGGGAGUAUGGGAAAACGCGGCGGCCGUAGCGUUCAAAAACGGCAAGUAAGAAUAGAGGCGCCGGUAAGAUUGAGUCACGCCGAGUCUUGGCGGGAAGGGGUCGUAAUACACUGCAAGGGGUAUGGACUACAUCCAAGGGAACCGGAUGCCGGGUGUACCAGGGCAGGCGACCUCACAGGAACGCAGCAAGAAAAGGGAGGGUUGGUCCGCUUGAGCUGUGUAGGUCCUAGAGUUAUAGGAUGAAUGGAGUCUUAAAUAAUAAACCGAAUUGUGUGAAUUGAGCGAUGACUGAGUUCAUUGCACUGCUUGUUUUUGUGAAAUGAACUUUAAUAGUUGGUUAAGAAAUGUGUGUAGCGACUAGUCGGUUCUCGUUUCGCAUUGAGCAGUAUAAAAGCUCAUGGGGGAGACUGGUCUAGAAUCGCUUCACUGAGUAUUAAUACUCACCCCUCUUUUCCCUCUUCCAUUCUUGCAGAACUAUAAGUGGAAAUGCCGACGGUAAGGAAGGAAAUGCACCUGAAACUCAUGGGACCAGAAACGGGACACACGGAGAUGUCGGAAAAGUAGACAUGUGUGUCCUAAACCCCGCGCCCUGGAACCCCGGUUGGAAAUGGGGAGGGACGGGUGUUUCAAUUGGUAUCAGAGCCAGGUUAAGGUCCCUUAAUACUAACUUAAGGGAUCAGCAUUUCCGAAAUUGCCCAUUUUCCUUUAUGGUUCUGAUUGACCGUCUUAGCUCAUGUUGAAGGAGAAUUCGAACAACUCAGAGUCUCCGGCAAAGAUCCGAUCAACAAAAAGUCCUCGUACCGCGGUGUAAUGGAGUCUCAGAGGUUCAGGGAUGGGUAACAAGGAGUUGUAAGGCAAGUAUACAGAGGGAUUAGUCGCCUAGCACGUCAAGUUAAGGGGGAAUGGAAAGCCGGACAUUCGAGCUGGAGGGAAGCGUCUCGCGGACGACACCGCCCCACACCGGGCCGGGGAGGCCUGGGAAGGAGAGACGGAUGCAAGGCCGAGGCGUGCGCAGCUUCAUGGAAGGAUUAAACCCUGCAAAGAAAUGGACUUCUGGCAUUCAGAUAUCACAGUGAAGCUUGUUCCCAGUAGAAAAAAAAAAAAAAAAAAAAAAAAAAAAGAAACAUGGGCGUGGGUCCCACCACCAGGGCGUGGGCCCGCCGACGCGGAAGGAGCAAACCGGGGCGGCCAAGGGCGGACGGACGAGACAGUGGGAGAAAACCGAUUUCAGAUUAUGGGGACUAGGCUGAGGAUCAUCUUGGGGUAAAAAGGACGAUGGAGGAUCAUCCUGGGGUAAAAAGGAUGAUGGAGGAUCAUCUUGGGGUAAAAAGGAUGAUGGAGAGUCAUCAUGGAACAGAAUGCAGAAUGCUAAUAAGGAUAUGAGAUCUUCUUAGGGAAAAAGGGGUGACUGUAAAAAAGAUCAUCUUGGGGCAAAAAGGGAUGAUAAGAACCACACCGGGAAUAUUGUCUGUUUAAGCAGCGCUAGUUUGAGAAUUGAUUGAAAACUGCCAUCUAUGCAUGACUACUACUAUGUUCAGAUCAGGUCUUUGUUUUUACGCUGCAGGAUGUCUUCACCAGUGCAUCACGAGCUCGGAGAAAGACGCAUGCGCUAUGGACCAAAGGGGACAAGGGCUUACGCCCGCAAGCCCUACCGUGACGCUUGGGGCGAUGUGGUACCUGCAUUCUUCCCAGACGAAGAGGAAGUGGAGUUCGUGGAGCCGCCGAACGCCCCCAUCCAGGAGACGACCGUGAGGCGUCGGAUUCUGAUGCCCCAUUUCCAGCGGGCAGCCGAGUACAGGCGAUUGUACCAGGGUCA